rnacentral:rRNA from 1 species
GAUGAACGCUGGCGGCGUGCCUAAUACAUGCAAGUCGAGCGAACGGACGAGAAGCUUGCUCCUCUGAUGUUAGCGGCGGACGGGUGAGUAACACGUGGAUAACCUACCUAUAAGACUGGGAUAACUUCGGGAAACCGGAGCUAAUACCGGAUAAUAUAUUGAACCGCAUGGUUCAAUAGUGAAAGACGGUCUUGCUGUCACUUAUAGAUGGAUCCGCGCUGCAUUAGCUAGUUGGUAAGGUAACGGCUUACCAAGGCAACGAUGCAUAGCCGACCUGAGAGGGUGAUCGGCCACACUGGAACUGAGACACGGUCCAGACUCCUACGGGAGGCAGCAGUAGGGAAUCUUCCGCAAUGGGCGAAAGCCUGACGGAGCAACGCCGCGUGAGUGAUGAAGGUCUUCGGAUCGUAAAACUCUGUUAUUAGGGAAGAACAGAUGUGUAAGUAACUGUGCACAUCUUGACGGUACCUAAUCAGAAAGCCACGGCUAACUACGUG